rnacentral:rRNA from 1 species
AUUGAACGCUAGCGGGAUGCCUUACACAUGCAAGUCGAACGGAGUGGAGAACGGGUGCGUACUGUCACGGAACGUGCACAGUAGCGGGGGAUAAGUAUGCGAAAGCGUAGCUAAUACCGCAUACUAUUGGCACUGCCGAUAUCGGUUUAGCUAGUUGGUGGGGUAACGGCUCACAAAGGCGACGUUCCGUAGCUGGGUUGAGAGGACGACCAGUCACACUGGGACUGAGACACGGCCCAGACUCCUACGGGAGGCAGCAGUGGGUAAUUUUGGACAAUGGGGGAAACCCGGAUCCAGCCAGCCCGCGUGUGUGAUGAAGGCCUUCGGGUUGUAAAGCACUUUUGGCAGGAAAGCGGUACCUGCAGAAUAAGCACCGGCUAACUACGUGCCAGCAGCCGCGGUAAUAC